GUGUGUGGGGCUAGAAAAGCUUAUACAAGGGAAACCCUUUAGGAGGAGGCAGAUUCAGCAACUCUUUCUGAUGAGGGAGAAAAGGGAAAUGCUGCUCAUAGCACCAGUGUUGAUCUUAUGGAUGCAAAUACCACAAGUGAACGGACAACAGAUAAGUCAAAUUCCUCAAUUCUUGCCUCUACAAGAAGGAGAGAACUUCACCACGUACUGCAAUUCCUCAAGCAUUUUAAGCAGCUUACAGUGGUACAAGCAGAGGCCUGGGGAAAGUCCUGUCCUCUUGAUGAUAUUAAAUAAGGGUGGAGAAGUGAAGACGGAGCAGAGACUGACAGGUCGGCUUGGAGAGACCAGAAAGCAGGGCUCCCUACACCUCACGGCUGCCCAGCUCUCAGAUGUAGGAACCUACUUCUGUGCGGGGCACAGUGCUCUGGAAGCACCUGCUGUCUGUCCCCAAACCUCACUUGGGCUCCAGGGGUCGCUCCUCCUCAUCUCUCCUCCGAGCAGGGGCCAGAGAAAGCUGAUGUCACCAUAUCUAUGA